ensembl:snRNA U6 U6 spliceosomal RNA
GGGCUCACUUCGGCAGCACAUACACUAAUAUUGGAACAAUACAGAAAAGAUUAGCAUGGCCCCUGAGCACGGAUGACACGCAAAUUCGUGAAGUAUUCCAUAUUUUU